rnacentral:rRNA from 1 species
AUUGAACGCUGGCGGCAGGCCUAACACAUGCAAGUCGGACGGUAGCACAGAGGAGCUUGCUCCUUGGGUGACGAGUGGCGGUCGGGUGAGUAAUGUCUGGGGAUCUGCCCGAUAGAGGGGGAUAACCACUGGAAACGGUGGCUAAUACCGCAUAACGUCGCAAGACCAAAGAGGGGGACCUUCGGGCCUCUCACUAUCGGAUGAACCCAGAUGGGAUUAGCUAGUAGGCGGGGUAAUGGCCCACCUAGGCGACGAUCCCUAGCUGGUCUGAGAGGAUGACCAGCCACACUGGAACUGCGACACGGUCCAGACUCCUACGGGAGGCAGCAGUGGGGAAUAUUGCACAAUGGGCGCAAGCCUGAUGCAGCCAUGCCGCGUGUAUGAAGAAGGCCUUCGGGUUGUAAAGUACUUUCAGCGGGGAGGAAGGCGAUGCGGUUAAUAACCGCAUCGAUUGACGUUACCCGCAGAAGAAGCACCGGCUAACUCCGUGCCAGCCGCCGCCGUAA